CCAGGACCAAAAGGCAAGUGCAGUUUCUACAAGUGUCUCUCGGCUCCAUGAGCCUCCUCCAGGUCUCCUUCUGGCUCCAUCCUGCUUCCUUCCUUCCUCCGUCUCCUCUGCAUCCUCUUCUCUCCCUGCUCAGCUCCACCCUCCCUUGGGUGGGGCAGGAAACCUGGAACCUCCCCCUUUCCUGGGGACCACCCUGUUACACAAUAACAGGAGAAGAAAGGAAAGCAGCCAAUCCCUGCGCCCUCCCCCAUCCACAAAACCGGCUCACCCCGCCCUACACAAGGGAGAAAAAAAAAGAACUAGAGAUCCAGCAGGAGAGGGAGUGCAAAGGAACUGCGGACUGCAGGUACCGCUCCUCGCAACUGUGGAAACCAGCGGGAACUACCCCCGAGUUUUUUGGCAGACAAUGAAAAGGACAGAUUUAAGAAUGAGUUACCAGGAAAUGAAAUGUUCUUCCAAUACUGUCUUCAGAAGAGUGAUGUCUUCAAAGAUCAAAAUUCAGUGAACUUUUAGUAGAACUGGGCCUAGGCCACAGGUGUGGAGGGUGAGAGGACUCACCAGCGACAGGACUGGGAGCAGAACAUGCGGAUCUACUGAGGUACACUGCUGAGCUUGCUCCUCUUUUUCCUUUGAUUUAAAGAGGACCUUUUGGGCUUCCCUGGUGGCACAAGGAGUUAAGACACAACCUAUGAAGUUAUCCACAGCAACUGCAGCAUGAGUUUGAUCCCAGGCCAGGGAGCUACCCACAUGGCACAGUAGACCUCCCGUGAUUCGCCCACGGCUCCCAUUGGCAGUGUAUUUCAGUCAAUCUGCCUGUUCUGUUCCCUACUCUGCCUCUGGUGAAUCCUCUCACUCCCACACCUCUGGCCUGUACCCCAGUUCUUGUAUGCAUAAAUAAAUAAAUAUUCAAAAAAAUU